CUGGGGGGUGCCUCCCAGUUAGGCUGCUCGGGGGUCAGGGGUCAGGGACCCACUUGAGGAGGCAGUCUGCCCGUUCUCAGAUCUGCAGCUGCGUGCUGGGAGAACCACUGCUCUCUUCAAAGCUGUCAGACAGGGACAUUUAAGUCUGCAGAGGUUACUGCUGUCUUUUUGUUUGUCUGUGCCCUGCCCCCAGAGGUGGAGCCUACAGAGGCAGGCAGGCCUCCUUGAGCUGUGGUGGGCUCCACCCAGUUCCAGCUUCCCGGCUGCUUUGUUUACCUAAUCAAGCCUGGGCAAUGGCGGGCUCCCCUCCCCCAGCCUCGCUGCUGCCUUGCAGUUUGAUCUCAGACUGCUGUGCUAGCAAUCAGCGAGACUCCGUGGGCGUAGGACCCUCCGAGCCAGGUGUGGGAUAUAGUCUCGUGGUGCGCCGUUUUUUAAGCCCGUCGGAAAAGCGCAGUAUUCGGGUGGGAGUGACCCGAUUUUCCAGAUAGACUGGGAGCUCCAUGAGGUCCGAGACAACCUGAAGACGCCCAGCUCAGCAGAGACUGGCUACGGCAAUCACUCAGUAACUAUUUGUUGAAUUGGACAUAAUAGAAGAGCUGAAGAAUUUUAAACAAGUCACCAUCAGUGCAGUGGAUUCCUCAAAGCAAACCUGGAAAUCUCGGCAUGAGUUGGAUUUAAGGCAGUACAUUUUCAGCUCCUGAAAAUUUGAACAGUUUCUCAAGAGAACAACUUGAAACAGAAAGGCAAGGAUGUAGAUGUGGUUGUAGAAGAUGAUGUCUGCGGCCACCAAACUGUCCACUGUGAAGACAAACCAUGCAUGUUUAGUAGGCAGUGGCUCCUCUUCCCUGUGGGGAGUCCCACUGCUUCCCUGGCCUGGGUGUUCUCUGCCGGUAGAUGUUAUUGACAAAAUAAGCAAAGUCCUCUGAUUCUGAGAAUUAGAGUUAAUGAUAGCUCUAGAUUGCCUCUGCCAUGCUAUUUAAAGUCCUGCUUUAUUGUCUGACAUGAGUUCGGCAUCUAUGAGGACUUGUCCAGUGCAAAGUACAAUCUCCACUGAAAGAUAUCACCAGCACAUCUUGUCACUGUGCUGUAGCAAGCUGGGCAGUACAAUGAUGUUGGCAGGAUCCUGUUUAGGUGGAGGAUGGCCACCUGGGCAUCAAGAAUCUUCUACCCUGAUUCCACAUUGACUCCCCAAAGUGGGCUUCAGACAGCUCUUUACUUACGUCUUCUGAUUAAAGCAGCAGACAGGGUCCCAGCUAGAGAAAAGUUCUGGGAGCAGGAGAGGUGUUGGUGGCUUUAAAACCAGGGGUGAAGAUUGAAUUAGGAGGUUAGGCAGGAGUAGGAUCAAAGACUUAGAAAAUGCUUGUUUCCUCCUAUUAUUCUUAUGAGAGCUGAUACGGGGCUUUCAGUUUUGGGGGAGAGCCUUGGAAGAGAAUGAGGGAAUUUAAUCAACUAGCGGGACCUUUCCAACUUACAUUUCCCAGUGUUUGUUGGAUGAUACGUUUGCCUAAUAAGUUAAAGCUUCCAAAAAUAGAAAGGAAAGCUUGGUGACACUAAGCUCUGGCAUGCUGUCAUCUUCUGGCUAGGGGUCUUGUGCUUCUGUUUUUCUAUUUCUGACCAAAGACAUAAAAUGUGUUGUGACCUCUCAGGUAAUGCUGUGGUAUCAUGUCCAAGCAGUAACUAACCAGAGUGGAGUUUUUACAGGUAAAAAAGUAUUGAAUAGCUCAGCAACAGGGAGGACUUAAUGAUAAAUUGCUUUUUCAGAAAAUGACAAGGGGACAGACACUUGCGGUUCUUCCAUUGAGAGCCUUAAGGAAGUUAAGCGAAGCCUCUGCUCACCCCUUCAAGUAACGAUGACCCAUCAGAUCGUGGUCAUAACCAGUAGCAUCUGAGGCACCCCUAAGCUCUCUGGGCCCCAGAUUCCUUGUUAAGUUAAAUGAGGUGACUUCCCAGUUUACCAUUCUAGGGGUUCCUGAGGAGUUAAAAAUGAAGGAGAAAAUGCAACAUGUACCAAGUGAGCAAGAGCUCAAGGCUUAUCUCUGGCACGAAAGUGACCGCUGUCCGUUAGAGAUGUGAUUGCCCUAGAUUUCCUUUAGGAAAUGCAAACAUUGAACUCUGGCCUUCAGGACCCAAGUCCCGGCUUGCAUCUAUUCUAUACACUUUCUGUUAUUUGUUAGGGCUCACAAGGAACAGUUAUUUAUCUUUUAUUUUCUAUUUUUUUUUUAGAGAUGGAGUCUCACUCUGUCUCCCAGGCUGGAGUGCAGUGGUGCCAUCUCAGCUCACUGCAACCUCCACCUCCCGGGUUCAAGCAAUUCUCCUGUCUCAGCCUCCUGAGUAGCUGGGACUACAGGCGUGUGCCAUCAUGCCCGGCUAAUUUUUAGUAUUUUUAGUAGAGGCAGGGUUUCACCAUAUUGGCCAGGCUGGUCUUGAACUCCUGAUCUCAAGUGAUCUACCCUCCUUGGCCUCCCAAACUGCUGGAAUUACAGAUGUGAGCGACCACACCUGGCCCAUUUGUUUUCUUUCAAACCCUUCUGUAAGACCAGUGCUUUAGGUGAACACGUGGACAGAACAAGAUCAUCACUAUUUUGCAAUAUGAAGACCAACUGCGCUGUGACCAGAAAAACAGAGGCAAAAUGUUGAGCUUAAUGAUACCUUUUUAUAAUUUGUAUUUGGUGUUUCUCAAUUUUCCAUUGGAUAGUUUGAGAGAUAAGUACAAGUCAAUGACAUGUUCUCUUUCGUACCCUAUUGUCUAAUCCUGCUAACACACACACACACACACACACACACACUGAUUACCUAAUUUAUCUGUUCCCCGAUUAUUACACUCUCAAUUGCUGCAGAGUCUCAGAAGCAGCAUGGUGUAACAGAAAGAAUAUGAGGCUUAGAAUCCAAAAGCCAGAGUGUGAAUUCCAGCUCCACUGACUUGCUGCGUGACUUGAAGCAAGUCAUUACGUGUCUCUGUUUACUCAUUUUAUGACUUUCCUAUUGCCUCUGUAAUAUAGCACCACAAACGUGUGGACUUAAAACAACAUGCAUUUAUUCUCUUAGCGUUCUGGAGGUCAGGAGUCUGACAUCAAUUUCGUUGGGCUAAAAUCAAGAUGUUGGUAGGACCAAGAUCCCCGUGGAGGCUCUGGGAGAACCCAUUUCCUUGCCUUUGCCAGCUUCUAAUGCUGCAUUCCUUGCAUUCCUUGAUUGUUGACCUCUUCCCCCAUCUUCAAAGCCAGCAGAACAGCACCUUGUUUCAUUGCCUUCUUUACUGUCAAAUCUCCCUCUGCCUUCUUCUUAUAAGAACACUUGUGGUUGCAUUUAGAAGCUGUGAUAAUCCAGAAUAAUAUCUUUAUCUCAAGAUCUUUGACUUGGUCUCUUCUGCAAAGUCUCUUUUGCCACAGAGGGAAAUAUUCACAGGUCCCAGGGGUCAGGCUGUGUACGUCUUUGGGGGACUUUAUUCUGCCUACCACACUCAUCUUUUUUUUUUUUUUUUUUGGAUGGAGUCUUGCUCUGUCACCCAGGCUGGAGUGCAGUGGCAUGAUCUCGGCUCACUGCAACUUCUGCCUCCCCAGUUCAAGCAAUUCUCCUGCCUCAACCUCCCAAGUAGCUGGAAUUACAGGCGCCUGCCACCACGCCCGGCUACUUUUUGUACUUUUAGUAGAGAUGGGGUUUCACUAUGUUGGCCUGGCUGGUCUUGAACUCCUGACCUCAGGUGAUUCCCCCACCUUGGCCUCCCAAAGUGCUGAGAUUACAGACGUGAGCCACCAUGCCCGGCCCCACACUCAUCUAUUAAGUAGAGCUAGGAAUUCCUAUCCUAAGGGACACAAAAAUGAAAAAAGAUAAAAUUUGUGAAGAGGCACAUAAUGAAAGCCCAUACAUGUCACUGAGUUCAGAGGAGGGUGGGUCUGACCUCCCAUUGGCUGGUCUCUGCCUGAUGGACAUCGUGAAGAAGAGAGCCAGGACUAGUGUGGCUGGGGGAUGUUCAGGGGCCAGAGUGGCUUCAGGUGCCAGCAGCCCUGGCCGAAGGAUGACUCCAGGAGCAAGGCUCAGAGCCGAGUGGAAGAAGCUUCAUAAACGCAACUGAGCCAAGCAUGAUGGGAUGUGCCUGUGGUUCCAGCUACUCAGGAGGCAGGUGGGAGGAUGGCUUGAGUCAGAAGUUCGAGGCUGCAGUGAGCUAUGAUCACACUACUGUACUCCAGCCUGGGUGACAGAAUGACACCCUGUCUCUAAAAAGAAAAGGCACCUGGAUGCUCAUGACCGAGAUGGGGUGGGGUGGGUGGGGUGGGACAGCCGCACUUUAUAACUUUGCUUUCAGCAUGAUGUGGAUUAGUGUCUCCCAUGUGGGAAAAUUAUGUUUACCACUUAGAGACCUGAUAGUGCUUGCUUACCCCAUAACGCUGGACGGUGGCAGGCUUAACUCCCCCAUCAAGGGCCUUAAUGUAUUUGGGGCCCUAGUCCUAGCAACAGCAGCAAAUCUCCUUUUUCUUUUCCUCGAGCUGGUUGUUCACCAGGCAGUUGGGAUGUUAAUGGGAAGAGAAGACACACACAAGUCCCUUGUUUUCAAUAAGGCAGUCUGGUCACGUCCUUAGCAGGUUAUUAAUCUUUUUCAAACCCCUCCUCUCCACCAAGUUUUAUGAUCCUGGGAAGGAGAUUCCUACCUAGCAUCCUUAGAGUUAUCGGGGGUUAGGAUCGGUGCAUGCAGUCACUUCCGUGGAAUCAUCAGUAGCCCUCCAGCCUCUGGGGAGAGCUGCCAGUGGUCAGAGAUGUUGGGAAUUACGAGGGAGGAGCUAGGGAGAAGGAACUCACAGUCCCUCAGUCUCUGAAGGUGGCUCCUGGCAGGAGAGGGGGCCAGUCCUAGAUAAGAGCUCUCCCAGGGAAUUCCAAGGGUCCUCCCAAGGUCCAGCCACAAGAUGAGGAAUUACUGUUGGGCUCUUCCUCAGAUGUGCCUGUGAAUUCAUAUCACAGAUGCUUGAUGCAUUUGACAAUUGUUUAAUUGCUUGAGCCCAACUGAUACUCUUUCAGUCACUUUAAGGGAGUGAUUUCAAGUAUGAUCAUUGCCUCAAAUCUGUAUGGCUUUCCUUGCCUUUCAGGUGCUUUAAGAGGGCUUAUGUUCUUUGACUCCCCUAGUAACUCAAAAGGGUGGCUAAGAUGCAACUCUGGAGGUUUCCAAGCUCUCUGCAAAGCCUGCCUUCAGUAGUCUGUGCACCACAAGAAGCAUAACUUUAUUAUCCUCUAGCUGAAUUUACCUCCUGCUUCGAGCCCCUGUUUUCCCAUGUCAUUUUAGGGGUCCAAUGUUUUUCCUGGAGGCAUAUACACACACACACACACACACACACACACACACACACACACACACACACACACAUAUAUACACACACACAUUCCAGGGGCCUCUGAGGUGCCAAGACAUGUGUGGGGUCCAUCUGGUUCACACUGAUGUCCAUGAUCAUUGAGUUCAUUUUUUAUAUCAACUAUGUGACACUUCCUAUAGUUUCCAGUUCCUGGUUAGAAUUUGCAAAGUUGCCGACUAUUUCUUUGAAUAGAGUAGCUAGAUCAUGGGUCUACACCAGUCAUCAAGCAGCGAUUUCCCUGUUGGAAGCUCCAAGCAAAUUGUCAGCUCCAGCAUUCCACACAGCUGUGGGUGCCACACUCCUUUUCCUUUUAAAAGAUGAUGAUCUGCUAGUGGUGAAUGCUCUUGGAGUUUUAUUUGUAGGUUUUUCUUGUUGUCGCAAAUGUCUAUAUUUCAUCUUCCCUCUUGAGGGAUAUUUUCCAUGGGUAGAGGAUCUAGGCUUUUCUUUUGGAUUCCAUUGUGGCUUUAAAAAAAAGUCAGUUGACUGUUUAUUUAUGGCUUCUCUAAAGGUGAUCUCUUUCUUCCUAAGGCUGCUUUAAAAGUUUCCGUUCCCUCCCUCCCUUCCUCCCACCCCAUCCCCCUUCUUCCUUUCCUUCCUCCCUCCCUUCCUCCCUUCUCUUCCUCCCUUUCUCCCUUGUCUUCCUCCUUUUCUCCCAUCCUCCCUUCCUCCCUCUUUCCUUCUUUUUUCCCUUCCUCCCGCCCUCCUUCCUUCUUCCAUCAUUAUAUAUUAAAAUAUUUUCUUUCUUUCUUUUUUUUUUUUGAGAUGGAGUUUCGCUCUUGUUGCCCAGGCUGGAGUGCAACGGUGUGAUCUUGGCUUACUGCAACCUCCACCUCCCUGGUUCAAGCGAUUCACCUGCCUCAGCCUCCCUAGUAGCUGGGAUUACAGGUGCCCGCCACCACACCCAGCUAAUUUUUGUAAUUGUAGUAGAGAUGGGGUUUCACCAUGUGGGCCAGGCUGGUCUUGAACUCCUGAACUCAGGUAAUCCACCCGCCUUGUCCUCCCAAAGUGCUGGAAUUACAGGCAUGAGCCACCACUCCCAGCCUAUUAAAAUAUUUUCUUCUGGGCCUUCCCUCCUUUUACUUCUUUUGAUACCGCCAUCAAAUGCAUGUUAGGUUGACUCACUGUGUACUCUAUUACCCUCUCAUCUGGUUUUUAAUCUUUCUGUCUCCUUAUACUGUAAUCUCAGUGUUUCUUCUGCUUUAAUUUUGGUAUAUGAAUUAUUCAGCUGUGUUCAAAGUGUGGUUAAAGCGACUUAUAUGCUCUUUAAUUUUUAGUUAUUGUACUUUUCACCUCUAGAAGUUCUUCUGUGACACUUCUUAUAGUUUCCAGUUCCUGGUUAGAAUUUGCAAACUUGUUGACUAUUUCUUUGAAAAGAGUAGCUAGAAUUGUUUUAGUCUGUGUAUAGUGAGUUGAAUAUCUGAAACCUCUGUGAGUCUGUUUCUUUUGUCUGCUAGCCCUACUCAUGGCGUCAUGUUUUCCUGGAUGUUUAGUUGGUUGUCUUUGAAUAUGUCCAACUCCAGUUAUUUCUGGGAAUACCCAAAGGCACACCUGUUCACUAUCACCCAGUGAACUGCCAUGUGUUUGUCUCCUGUCAUGGUAACAUUUGCAUUCAGGGAGAGGCCUCUGCUCUCUGCAGAACAGUGUGAAAUCACCUCAUUUUUGCCUUCAAUGAAGGUUGUCUCUUGCUGGUCACCACCACUUCCUCAAAUGACUAAUGCCACUCUUGCUCACAGUGCUAAGGCGCUAAGGAGUUUUCAGAGGGCUAGAGUGAUUCUGCAUCCUCUGGGGUUCUCAGGAAACGAGGCCACAGGGCCAUCUGUGCAUGAGUGACAGUGGGGUGGGGUGGAUGAGCAGUGGCAGUGGUGGGCACCUAUGCUGCUGGCGCCACAGCUUUUUAUAUCUUGGUGAAAACAACGCCUUGCGUUUUCACUUGUAGAUUCUCCGGCUACAUUCCACAAGAACAAAUUCUGGUCACAGAGGCCAGAGUAGACUAUCAGUGUAAUGGCCCUUCCCCUUUGAUGAUAGCAGCUUUUUUCGGGGGAGCAGGGGUGGCCAAACUUCCUAGCCUUAUUUUAUCUUCCUUUCUAGUUCUCCCCAGAGGCUGCUGGGUCCACCUCUCCCUCUGCCAGACAGACAGGCUCAGACAUGCAAGAACGGAAGGGGGUGUGGGGGUUGGUGGGAGGAUUAAGUUGGGGAAAGCCAGUCUUGUCUUUGUAGAUUACCAGAACUGACACACGUACACACACGUACACUCACUCACUCACUCACUCAUCUAUUCAUCUAUUUUUGGCCUAAGUGCCUUUGGACACUUCUUCGGAAAAGCACAUGAACUCUUCGGAGUCUCCUGUUCCACUUGGUAAAUUUCCUAUAGCCACGCACUGAAAGUCCCUGCUGCCCUCCUUCCUCUGAGCUUGUGGGGCCCACAGAUCCCCUGCUCCACUUCCUGCUUCAUUUCAGCUGAUGGUGAGUCCAGGGCAGGCUUGUAGGAAGGGCGGGCUAGGCGUGGGGAACUGCAGCACCCACCCCACCCCCCGCCCCAGUGCUUGUUGCCCCAGCCUCUGUCUCCCUCGCUGUGCCCUUCCCUUAAGCCCCACUCUUGGCCUCCCCAAAGACAGAGUUUGUUCUGUUUUUAUUGAUAGGAUGACACUCCCUCGUUCUAAUACCAUCUGAAUGCCUGAGCAAUUACAUCUUACAACCUCAUGAAAAACACAGCAGCUUGUCACGAUGAAUGAUGUUACCGUGAAUAAUGCAGUUUUGAGUUCAAACUCCUUCUUAUUCCAAGAAUGAGUAAAUAUCCCUAUUCCCUCCCCUCCCCAUUGCAUUUGGGUUUGACAUGACAUGAAUCAUUGUGGUUUUACUCCUGGGUAGAAUUGUUUUUCUGUAUUGCAUUGCCAAUUGAUGGAAGGACAAAAAAAGGAAACUUACCAAUGAGCAGUUUCAGAUGAACUUAAAUUCUCAGAAAUCUUGAAGAAUGAAUGAACUAUAACUUUCUGAAGUUGCAAAAAUGUUCAAGUCGGAAGUGACCCAUGGGAAGCAACCUGGUCCUUAAUUAGGACUGGAAAGAAAACGGAGGCCCAGCGAGGGAACAGUGGCUUCCCCAAGGUCACACUGCAAGUGAGUGGUGGCACUAGUCACCCAGGAGUCCUCCUGACUCCAUGGUAUCCUGACCCCAGACCAGCAGCCUUAUUUGUGGUUAAAGAACGUGGAAAAACAGCUUAUGUUUGAAUUUUAAAAUCAUGCCAGUACUAAAGAUCUGCAUUCCAUGAAUAUUGAGCUUUGCUGUGUGCGGGUUGCUACGAAUUUUGUAACUAUUUUCUCUAAGAGCUCUCAGUAUUUUACAUAUACAAUUCCAUUCUUUAUUGUCCAGGGAAAAAGUUGCAUUUACUGAGCAGUAAGAGGGUGAUUUGAAGUCCCUGGGGUCCCCCACCCUUGUCUUUCUAUGUGAGAUUGUAUUGCAGGGCUCACAUUUAUUCUCUCAGCAGCUCAUUGCACAGACAGUGUAUUUAUUGAGCACCUACUGUGUGCCAGGAGCUAUGUGGUAAGCUAAGCAGACAAAAACUCCUGCUCUCACAAGAAGAAAGAAUAAACAAGCAGACAAUUGCACCUAUAAUGUCAGCCUGGUGUGAUGGCUCACUCCUGGAAUCCUAGCACUUUGGGAGGUGACGAUGGGAGGAUUGCUUUAACUCGGGAGUUCAAGAUAAGCCUGGGCAACCAAGACCCUGUCUCUACAAAAAAAUCAAAAAAUUAGCUGGGGGUGAUGGCAUGAGUCUCUGGUCCCUCGGGACCAGAGGCCUCGGGAGGCUGAGGCGGGUUUAUCACUUGAGCCUGGGAGGUUGAGGCUGCAGUGAGCUGUGAUCACACCACUGCACUCCAGCCUGGGCCACAGAGCGAGACCCUGUCUCUAAAUAAACAAACAACCUAAUGUCAAGUUAGGAAGUGUGGCAAAAAGGAACAAAGUCAGGGUGACUGCCAUUCUAGAAAGGGUGGUGAGGGAAGGUCUCCUUGAGCAGAUCCUGUGGGAGUGGAAGGGUAAGUCACGAGACUCUCUGGAGGAAGAAGAUUCCAGGUGGAAAUGCCUUAGUGGGUGUUAAACGCUUUAACGGGUGUUAGCCAGAAAGCCAGAAUGGCUGGAGCUGAGGGAGUAGAGGAGGCGGCAUAGAAAAUGAGGUCAGAGAUGGAGGCAGGGCCGGAUCACAGAGGGGCACAGAGAACGAGGAGGGAAUUGGAUUUUUGGAAAAGAUUGUGGCAAAAUACAAAAUAUAAAAUACAAAAAUAAAAUAUAAACCAUAAAAUGUACUACCUUUACCAUUUUAAGUAUGCAGUUCAGUAGUGUUAAAUACAUUUACAUCAUUGUUCAACCCGUCUCCAGAACUCUCUGCAUCUUGCAAAAUUAAAACUCUAUGCCAUUUCAACAGUUCGCAUUUCCUCUUCCCUCUCGUUCAUGGCAACCGCCAUUUUUCUUUCUGUCUCUGUAAAUGUUAGUACUUGGGGUAUCUCAUCUAAGUGGAAUCACACAGUGUGUGUCCUUUUGUGACAGACUUAUUUCACUUUGCAUAAUGUCCUUAAUAUUCAUCCAUGUUGUAGCAUGUGUCAGAUUUUCCUUCCUUCUUAACAUUGUGUAAUAUUCCAUUGUACGCAUAGACUACAUUUAGCUUAUCUGUUCACCUGUGGAUGGACACUUGGGUUGCUAUAGUGAAUAAUAUUGCUGUAAAUAUGGGUAUACGAUUAUCUCUUUGUGACCCUGCUUUUAAUUGUUUUGGAUAUAUACCCAGAAAUGGAAUUACUGAAUCAUGUGGAGAUUCUGUUUUUGAUUUAUUUAUUUAUUUUUAAUUUUUGAGAUGGAGUCUCGUUCUGUCACCCAGGCUGGAGUGCAGUGACACGAUCUCUGCUCACUGCAACCUCUGCCUCCUUGCACCAUUAAUUCUGAAAAUGCAGGCCUGGAUCCAACCGCCUUUGGGGACGGGUACCUGCCCACAGGAAGAGGUUGAGGAGACAAUAAUGUCACGAGAAUCAUCAUCUUUGACUGGGAAAUGGUGUGCAGAGUUUCUGGUGCCUUCUGAAGUGAUUGUCGCAUCUCAGCCUCCCUAGUAGCUGGGAUUACAGGCAUUUGCCACCAAGCCCGGCUAAUUUUUGUAUUUUUAGUAGAGACGGGGUUUCAUCAUGUUGGCCAGGCUGGUCUCAAACUCCUGACCUCAGGUGAUCCACCUGCCUCAGCCUCCCAAAGUGCUGGGAUUAUAGGUGUGAGCCAUGCACCUGGCCUGAUUGGUUAUUUAAAUUCUGAGAUGGGGUAUACUAAUGUUUGAAAACCACAGGGAUGGGAUAGGUAUAGGUGGGGAGGGAGAGCAAAAGUGGUAUUUAGAAUAUGUUACGUUUGAAAAACCUAAUACACAUUCUACAUCCAAGUGGACAUAGAUGGAGUUAUUUGA
rnacentral:lncRNA from 1 species